rnacentral:rRNA from 1 species
UACAGAGGGUGCAAGCGGUUAAUCGGAAUUACUGGGCGUAAAGCGUGGCGCAAGACGGUUGCGUAAGUUCAGAUGUGAAAGCCCUGGGCUCAACCUGGGAACGUUGCAUUUGAGACGUGGCGUAGCUAGGGUGCGGAAGAGGGAAGCGGAAUUUCCGGGUGUAGCGGUGAAAUGCGUAGAUAUCGGAAGGAACACCAGUGGCGAAAGCGGACUUCCGUGGUCCCAGCA